rnacentral:rRNA from 1 species
UCGUGAAAAGGGAAACAACCCAGACCGCCAGCUAAGGUCCCAAAGUUGUGGUUAAGUGGUAAACGAUGUGGGAAGGCUUAGACAGCUAGGAGGUUGGCUUAGAAGCAGCCAUCCUUUAAAGAAAGCGUAAUAGCUCACUAGUCGAGUCGGCCUGCGCGGAAGAUGUAACGGGGCUCAAACCACACACCGAAGCUGCGGGUGUCACGCAAGUGACGCGGUAGAGGAGCGUUCUGUAAGCCUGUGAAGGUGAGUUGAGAAGCUUGCUGGAGGUAUCAGAAGUGCGAAUGCUGACAUGAGUAACGACAAUGGGUGUGAAAA